rnacentral:rRNA from 1 species
CAAUAGCGUAUAUUAAAGUUGUUGCAGUUAAAAAGCUCGUAGUUGGAUUUCUGGGCCUGGUUCACGGUCCGCCGAAAGGUGUGUUACUGUAGACCUGGUCCUUUCCUCCCGACGUUCUCGUGUGCUCUUAACUGAGUGUGCGUGGUACUUCGGGACCUUUACUUUGAAAAAAUUAGAGUGUUCAAAGCAGGCUUACGCUUGAAUACAUUAGCAUGGAAUAAUGGAAUAGGACUUUGGUUCUAUUUCGUUGGUUCUAGGACCGAAGUAAUGAUUAAUAGGGAUAGUUGGGGGCAUUAGUAUUUAAUUGUCAGAGGUGAAAUUCUUAGAUUUAUGAAAGACUAACUACUGCGAAAGCAUUUGCCAAGGAUGUUUNCAUUAA